UUCCGAAGAGGUAAACCCAGGGUAACCUGGGGGCACAAAGCCACGGGUCCUGUCAUUCAUCCUAGGAAUAUGAUCAGGAUAGCCGGGUUGGCGAGA
rnacentral:ncRNA from 1 species